rnacentral:rRNA from 1 species
AGCGAACGCUGGCGGCAGGCCUAACACAUGCAAGUCGAACGAAGUCUUCGGACUUAGUGGCGGACGGGUGAGUAACACGUGGGAACGUGCCUUUAGGUUCGGAAUAACUCAGGGAAACUUGUGCUAAUACCGAAUGUGCCCUUCGGGGGAAAGAUUUAUCGCCUUUAGAGCGGCCCGCGUCUGAUUAGCUAGUUGGUGAGGUAAUGGCCCACCAAGGCUACGAUCAGUAGCUGGUCUGAGAGGAUGACCAGCCACAUUGGGACUGAGACACGGCCCAAACUCCUACGGGAGGCAGCAGUGGGGAAUCUUGCGCAAUGGGCGAAAGCCUGACGCAGCCAUGCCGCGUGGAUGAUGAAGGUCUUAGGAUUGUAAAAUCCUUUCACCGGUGAAGAUAAUGACUGUAGCCGGAGAAGAAGCCCCGGCUAACUUCGUGCCAGCAGCCGCAGUAACAC